UCUUCCACUCCCCGCCCCCGGCUCCAGCCUUCUCCCGUCUGGGCCGGUCCCCGGCUUCCAUCUCCCCACCUCAGCGGGUACUCGUUCCCCGCCUGCUGCCCUCCACGGGUCCCUGUCAGAGCCCCGGCCCCAUGGCUCUGCAGGCUUUGCAGAGCUCGGGGGUGGCCUUUCGCAAGAUCCUGUGUCACUUCCCCGAGGAGUUGAGCCUGGCUUUCGCCUACGGCUCGGGGGUGUACCGCCAGGCGGGGCCCAGCUCAGACCAGAAGAAUGCCAUGCUGGACUUCGUGUUCACAGUCGAUGACCCUGUUGCAUGGCAUUCAAAAAACCUGAAGAAAAACUGGAACCAUUACUCGUUCCUAAAAGUUUUGGGGCCCAGGUUUAUCACCACUGUCCAGAAUAACUACGGUGCCGGGGUUUACUACAACCCAUUGAUCAUGUGUGAUGGGAGGCUUAUCAAAUAUGGCAUUAUUAGCACUAGUGUUUUGAUUGAAGAUCUCCUCAACUGGAAUAACUUAUACAUUGCUGGACGACUCCAAAAACCGGUGAAAAUCGUAGCAAUGAAUGAGAACGUCGCUCUCAGGUCGGCCCUGGAUAAAAAUCUGAAGAGUGCCGUGACCGCUGCUUUCCUCAUGCUCCCCGAAAGCUUUUCUGAGGAAGACCUGUUUAUAGAGAUUGCCAGACUCUCAUAUUCAGGUGACUUUCGGAUGGUGGUUGGAGAGGAUAAGGCAAAAGUGUUGAAUAUUGUGAAGCCCAACAUAGCCCAUUUUCGUGAGCUCUACGGCAGCAUUCUACAGGAGAAUCCCCAAGUGGUGUAUAAAAUCCAGCAAGGCAGCCUGGAGAUCGAUAAAAGCCCAGAAGGACAGUUCACUCAACUAAUGACAUUGCCCAAAACCUUACAGCAACAAAUAAAUCAUAUUAUGGACCCUCCUGGAAAAAACAGAGAUGUGGAAGAAACUUUAUUGCAAGUGGCUCAUGACCCCGACUGUGGAGACGUGGUGCGUCUAGGGCUCUCAGCAAUCGUGAGACCUUCCAGUAUGAGACAGAGCACCAAAGGCAUUUUCACUGCUGCUCAUCCAUCGUCUGACUAGAGCACAGUUCAUCCCUUCUACUGUUGAUGAUCUCCCGGGUUGUUUCCAGUUUGGGGCUAUUUCAAAGAGUCCUGCUAUGCGUGUUUUGGUACCUGUCUUCGAGCGAGCGUAGGCCUGAAGAAAUCAGUGAUUUAUAGUUCUCUAAAACUGCGUAAAAUGUGGAAAGGAUGGCUGAGAAAGACAUCCUGAUUUUGCUUGCUUUUAUCUAUGUUAUGUGUAGCUGAAUAAAAUGAUCCUUUUUGACAGAA